UACGAAGGGGGCUAGCGUUGCUCGGAAUCACUGGGCGUAAAGGGUGCGUAGGCGGGUCUUUAAGUCAGGGGUGAAAUCCUUGAGCUCAACUCCAGAACUGCCUUUGAUACUGAGGAUCUUGAGUUCGGGAGAGGUGAGUGGAACUGCGAGUGUAGAGGUGAAAUUCGUAGAUAUUCGCAAGAACACCAGUGGCGAAGGCGGACCGCUGGCCCUCUUCUGACGCUGAGGCGCGAAAGCCAGGGGAGCGAACGGG
rnacentral:rRNA from 1 species